GUGCUCAUUUUGACAGCAUAUAUACUAAGAUUGGAAUGAUACAGAGAAGAUUAGUAUGGCCUCUGAGCAAGAAUGAUAUGCAAAUUUGUGAAGCAUUAAAAAAAGUA